rnacentral:rRNA from 1 species
UACGAAGGUGGCAAGCGUUACUCGGAAUUACUAGGCGUAAAGGGCAGGUAGGCGGUCUCGUUAGUCUGUUGUGAAAGCUCCUUGCUUAACGGGGAGAGGCCAACAGAUACUGCGAGGCUUGAGUAUAGGAGAGGGUACUGGAAUUCCCGGUGCAGCGGUGAAAUGCGCAGAGAUCGGGAGGAACACCAAUGGCGAAAGCAGGUACCUGGACUAUUACUGACGCUCAGCUGCGAAAGCUAGGGGAGCAAACAGG